AGAACGAACGCUGGCGGCAGGCCUAAAACAUGCAAGUCGAACGCUCUAGCAAUAGAGAGUGGCGCACGGGUGAGUAACAUGUGGGAAUAUGCCUUUUGGUACGGAACAACUUUUGGAAACGAAAGCUAAUACCGUAUGGUCCCUUCGGGGUAAAGAUUUAUCGCCAAAAGAGUAGCCCGCACUGGAUUAGCUAGUUGGUAAGGUAAUGGCUUACCAAGGCGACGAUCCAUAGCUGGUCUGAGAGGACGAUCAGCCACACUGGGACUGAGACACGGCCCAGACUCCUACGGGAGGCAGCAGUUAGGAAUCUUGGACAAGUGGGCGCAAGCCUGAUCCAGCCAGUGCCGCGUGAGUGAUGGAAGGCCUUCGGGUUGUAAAGCGUUACUUAGGCCG
rnacentral:rRNA from 1 species